UGGGGGAUCGUCCAACGGCAGGAUGUGUGGCUCUGGACCACAAGAUCGGGGUUCGAAUCCCUGUCCCCCAG
rfam:Candidate division Zixibacteria bacterium RBG_16_48_11 RBG_16_scaffold_28953, whole genome shotgun sequence.